UCUUCCCUCUGUCUUCGUGCUUAACACAUGCAAGUCGAACGGGAUCCAAGGGGUGCUUGCACUUUUUGGUGAGAGUGGCGAACGGGUGAGUAACACGUGAGUAACCUGUCCUUUUCUUUGGGAUAAGCAUUCGAAAGGGUGUUUAAUACCUUAUGUUCUGUCUGCCUCGCAUGGGGUGGGUGGGAAAGGCUUUGGCCGGAUUUGGGUGGGCUCGCGGUCUAUCAGCUUGUUGGUGGGGUGAUGGCUUACCAAGGCUUUGACGGGUAGCCGGCCUGAGAGGGUGGUCGGUCACAUUGGGACUGAGAUACGGCCCAGACUCCUGCGGGAGGCAGCAGUGGGGGAUAUUGCACAAUGGGCGAAAGCCUGAUGCAGCGACGCCGCGUGGGGGAUGAAGGCCUUCGGGUUGUAAACUUCUGUUGCUCUGAACAAGGCAUGCCAGUGGGUGUGUGGAGUGGAGGGGUUGAUUAGCGCCGGCUAACUACGUG
rnacentral:rRNA from 1 species